UAAGUUUGCUUAAACAUUAAAUCUGUCUUUAUAUUUUUUCAAAAAUUUUAUGAUAAAUGUUAUUUUCAAGUACUAAAAAGUAAAAAGCUGAUAAGCAAUGGUGAAAUCCCUUUGGAAAGCUAACUUGUAAAUCAAAGUGGUAGUUAAUUUGCAUAAAAUUUAAUUCCACUUGAAUCCAUCUGCUUCGAAGUAGCUUCCAAGUAGCUUCCCCAUGCAAAGAAUUAUUAAAACAGUUCCGAAUUAAUUCCUGAGACACAGCCGAAUGUAAAUUCAGGGGCGGAUCGGGCGGAAAAAGCUUCAUCCAAAUCCCCAUCCAUAUACCCACCGAAAUCGGGGAGUUAACUAUGCAAGUACGUGUAUGUGGGGCACAGACCGAGUUGAUUUCCAUCUCAAUUGGCCAAAAUGAGCAGAGUUCUAGUCGAAAGGAAGCCACAGCCGAUGACAGUGACAAUGGCGCAUCUGGAUACACAGAUUGGGAUUGUAUCUUUCACUUGCAUUUCAAGAUGCAAAUGUCAAGACGUGUUGUACUCUGGAUUUCCAUCCCCUUCCACCUCCCACCUCCCCCUCUCGAAGGAUUCAAUUCCAGAAUGCCUCGAUGGCGCAGAUGCGCACUAAUUUGUAUGCCCGCACUCUUUGGAUUCGUUUUCCGUUGGUUAAAUGGUUAAAUGUAUCUUGGCAGCCUGCUCGCCUCAUAAAUGUGCCCAAAUAAAUUACCCUUAUUUAUCAUUUUA